rnacentral:ncRNA from 3 species
UAGAAGGUGAAAAAUAUUACUCGUAUAUACUUGGAAAUAUGGUCUGAGUGUCUCUACCUGAUUCCCAUUCAAAGAACUGGACUACGAGUUAAAGUAUAAAAAUG